rnacentral:rRNA from 1 species
AGUGAACGCUGGCGGUAGGCCUAACACAUGCAAGUCGAACGGCAGCACAGUAAGAGCUUGCUCUUACGGGUGGCGAGUGGCGGACGGGUGAGGAAUACAUCGGAAUCUACUUUUUCGUGGGGGAUAACGUAGGGAAACUUACGCUAAUACCGCAUACGACCUACGGGUGAAAGCAGGGGAUCUUCGGACCUUGCGCGAUUGAAUGAGCCGAUGUCGGAUUAGCUAGUUGGCGGGGUAAAGGCCCACCAAGGCGACGAUCCGUAGCUGGUCUGAGAGGAUAAUCAGCCACACUGGAACUGAGACACGGUACAGACUCCUACGGGAGGCAGCAGUGGGGAAUAUUGGACAAUGGGCGCAAGCCUGAUCCAGCCAUACCGCGUGGGUGAAGAAGGCCUUCGGGUUGUAAAGCCCUUUUGUUGGGGAAGAAAAGCAGCAGGUUAAUACCCCGCUGUUCUGACGGUACCCAAAGAAUAAGCACCGGCUAACUUCGUG